GCAUCGAUGAAGAACGCAGCGAAAUGCGAUAAGUAAUGUGAAUUGCAGAAUUCAGUGAAUCAUCGAAUCUUUGAACGCACAUUGCGCCCCCUGGCAUUCCGGGGGGCAUGCCUGUUCGAGCGUCAUUACACCACUCAAGCCUGGCUUGGUAUUGAGCGCCGCGGCCUGCCCGCGCGCUCCAAUGUCUCCGGCUGAGCCGUCCGUCUCUAAGCGUUGUGAAUAGCGAUCGCUUGCGAGGCCCGGGCGGUUCGACGCCGUUAAACCCCCCAUUUUCUAUGGUUGACCUCGGAUCAGGUAGGGAUACCCGCUGAACUUAAGCAUAUCAAUAAGCGGAGGAA
rnacentral:rRNA from 1 species